AGUGAACGCUGGCGGUAUGCCUAACACAUGCAAGUCGAACGGCAGCACAUUAUGCGCUUGCUCUUCCGGGUGGCGAGUCGCGGACGCGUGAGGAAUACAUCGGAAUCUACUUUUUCGUGGGGUAUAACUUCGGGAAACUUACGCUAAUACCGCAUACGACCUACGCGUGAAAGCACUGGCUCUUCGGACCUUGCGCGAUUAAAUGAUCCGAUGUCGGAUUAGCUAGUUGGCGGGGUAAAGGCCCACCAAGGCGACGCUCCGUAGCUGGUCUGAGAGGAUGAUAGGAGACAGUGGAAGAGAGACACGGGCCAGACUCCUACGGGAGGAAGCAGUGGGGAAUAUUGGACAAUGGGAGCAAGCAUGAUCCAGCAAUACCGCGUAGGUGAAGAAGGCAUUCGGGUGGUAAAGCACUUUUGUUGGGAAAGAAAAGCAGCAGGUUAAGAACAAGAUGUACUGACGGUACCCAAAGAAUAAGCACCGGCUAACUUCGUG
rnacentral:rRNA from 1 species